GCUGGGUGCCAUGGCCCAUGCCUGUAGUCCCACCUACUUGGGAGGCUGAGGCUGGAGGAUUGCUUGAGUCUGGGAGUUCUGGGCUGUAGUGCUCUAUGCAGAUCAGGUGUCUGCACUAAGUUUGCAAUCAAUAUUGUGAUCUCCCGUGAGUGGGGGACCACCAGGUUGCCUAAGGAGGGGUGAACUGGUGAACUGGCCCAGGUCAGAAACGGAGCAGGUCAAAACUCCCAUGCUGAUCAGCAGUGGGAUUGUGCCUGUGAAUAGCCACUGUACUCCAGCUUGGGCAACAUAGUGAGAUCCUAUCA
rnacentral:SRP_RNA from 1 species